AUUGAACGCUGGCGGCAUGCUUUACACAUGCAAGUCGAACGGCAGCGCGGGCUUCGGCCUGGCGGCGAGUGGCGAACGGGUGAGUAAUACAUCGGAACGUGCCCAGUAGUGGGGGAUAGCUCGGCGAAAGCCGGAUUAAUACCGCAUACGACCUGAGGGUGAAAGCGGGGGAUCUUCGGACCUCGCGCUAUUGGAGCGGCCGAUGGCAGAUUAGCUAGUUGGUGGGGUAAAGGCCUACCAAGGCGACGAUCUGUAGCUGGUCUGAGAGGACGACCAGCCACACUGGGACUGAGACACGGCCCAGACUCCUACGGGAGGCAGCAGUGGGGAAUUUUGGACAAUGGGCGAAAGCCUGAUCCAGCAAUGCCGCGGGUGUGAUGAAGGCCUUCGGGUUGUAAAGCACUUUUGGCGGGAACGAAAAGGACUGUGCCAAUACCACGGUUCGAUGACGGUACCCGCAGAAUAAGCACCGGCUAACUACGU
rnacentral:rRNA from 1 species